rnacentral:rRNA from 1 species
AGCGAACGCUGGCGGCAUGCCUAACACAUGCAAGUCGAACGGGAGCACCGUAUGAGCUUGCGCUUACGGGUGGCGCGUGGCGGACGGGUGCGGAAUACUUCGGAAUCCACCUUUUCGGGGGGGCUAACGUAGGGAAACGUACGCUAAUACCGCAUACGUCGUACGGGUGAAGGCAGGCGAUCUUCGGACCUUGUGCGAGGGAAUGAGCCGAUGUCGGAUUAGCUGGUUGGCGGGGUAGAGGCCCACAGAGGCGACGAUCCGUAGCUGGUCUGAGAGGAGGAGCAGCCACGCUGGAACUGGAACACGGUCCGGACUACUACGGGAGGGAGAAGUGGGGAAUAGUGGACAGUGGGAGCAGGGGUGAUCCAGCGAUACCGCGUGGGUGAAGGAGGCCUUCGGGUUGUGUAGCCCAUUUGUUGGGAAGGAAGGGAAGGCGCUUUAUACCCCGCUGUUCUGACGGUACCCGGAGAAUAAGCACCGGCUAACUUCGUG